CAGGUCAUUGAUUUGAACAGGAGACAAGGAGGCAGGCUAGCCUACAAGAGUAUAAAAACUGCAUGCCCAGGAAAGUCAUGAUAGAUGAACAGAACAUAAAACUAUACUACUUAUCUGUAAACCUCUACUCACUGGGCAUUGAGUACUGUACAUUUAUGGACAUGAAGAUGAUGAUUAUGUGAAUAAAGGAGUCUAUAAGUAAGUUAUAUUUUGAUGACCAGUAUGUUACAUAUGCCAAUACCUAGAUUAACUGUUUAUUACAUACAUUAACCCUUGACUGAAACAGGUUAAAACUAUGACAAUACUUGCUACUCAUUGAUUCAUUGCCUAGGAACAAUAAAACAAUCUCCCCAAUGUAAACUCAGAUAACCCAGGCUUACUGGAGAAAUAAAAAAACUAGCCUGGUCACAGAUCUGUUUGUGCUCUUGUCAAGCCAUACAUGCUGGAGUAGGCAUGAUAGCACAAACACACUAGCACUCAGGCUAAAAUAAAACAUUCAGAGCAAAGUAAUGGUUGGAGGAUAUGCAGGGUUGGGAAACAACAUUCAUGACCCACAAACACCACAGUCAACCAGGUCUUGGGUAUUUUAAGAUGCCCUAAUUUAAAGCCUGUUGCUAUAGGAUAUGGUUGCAUCAUUUCAUGCAAUACUGUUGCCUGGUUACCCAAACUCCUUGCUCUGGCCAAAUGCUACGCCAUACCCACAGACGUUAGAGUCUUCUCCGCAAUGAGUCUGGAUCUGAACGAUUUCUAGAAAGAAAAUCAAUUCUAGGCCGUCUGAUUGGUCCCAGAGACCGAUGUGUUGGGCCAGGGCCAGAACACACGUGGGUAAAGCGUUGUUUUGAAAAUGUGUCAUUGGCUUUGAUACAUUGAUUGGUUAUCAAUGAUCCAAUCUUUGAUGACUACGUUUUGUACAACACCCCUCAUUUUGACAUCGCCACAAAGGACUUAAGUGAUGUCAGUCUCUGGCUGAAGUAGCGAACGAUAGAGCAGCAGAAUAAUUCAGUUUGAGUUGUCAGCCAAGUGAUACAGAGAAGUAAAGCACAGGUAAGUGGUACAGAGAAGUAGAGCACAGGUAAGUGAUACAGAGAAGUAGAGCACAGGUAAGUGAUACAGAGAAGUAGAGCACAGGUAAGUGAUACAGAGAAGUAGAGCACAGGUAAGUGAUACAGAGAAGUAAAGCACAGGUAAGUGAUACAGAGAAGUAGAGCACAGGUAAGUGAUACAGAGAAGUAGAGCACAGGUAAGUGAUACAGAGAAGUAGAGCACAGGUAAGUGAUACAGAGGACAGAGAAGUAAAGCACAGGUAAGUGAUACAGAGGACAGAGAAGUAGAGCACAGGUAAGUGAUACAGAGAAGUAGAGCACAGGUAAGUGAUACAGAGGACAGAGAAGUAAAGCACAGGUAAGUGAUACAGAGAAGUAAAGCACAGGUAAGUGAUACAGAGGACAGAGAAGUAAAGCACAGGUAAGUGAUACAGAGGACAGAGAAGUAAAGCACAGGUAAGUGAUACAGAGAAGUAGAGCACAGGUAAGUGAUACAGAGGACAGAGAAGUAAAGCACAGGUAAGUGAUACAGAGGACAGAGAAGUAAAGCACAGGUAAGUGAUACAGAGGACAGAGAAGUAGAGCACAGGUAAGUGAUACAGAGAAGUAGAGCACAGGUAAGUGAUACAGAGGACAGAGAAGUAGAGCACAGGUAAGUGAUCAGUGUGGCUGGUAAAAACUCAUGAAUUGUAUCUAUACAUUCAUUAUAGGCUGCAAAUAGCAUUGAUAAAACCAUGAUUCGCCUUCUGAAGUCCCAGAACAAUGCAUACACGUCCCAAGUGAAUUCCCUAUAACUUCUUGAUUGGAAUGAAAAGGCUUCUCCUCUUUCCCUUUAACAGUAACAUUCAGAGAUUUAACACCAGCA